UCAUAAAUAUAAGAAAUGGAGGGAGGGCUUUGAGGGUAAGAAGAAAGGCAGCUAAUAUCUAUGAGUUUCUCAAAACCACAAGUAAAAAAAAAAGAAUUGUCUUGAAAAGUUUCUGUAUCCUCUUUGUCACUUUUUUGCACAUUUAAAAUCCUUCUGAAAGGUAAAUUGUUUUAGAAGACAUUUUAAAUUAUCCUGCAAUUUUAUGUCCUACUACUUUUUACUGAGUUUCUGUGUGAGGUCAUGAACUUGGGCUCAGAAAAGCUGCAGAAUGUUCUUUGUAUGAGUUCAAAAUUGCUCAAUACAGUAACAUUUGGCUGGGUGUUACAAUAUUUACUUAUUCCUAUCAGUAGCUAGCUUCACAACAAACUAGAGAAUAUUAGUGAUUUUUUAACUGCCCUCUAAAUCUUACCUCUCAGCAUUUGCUAUAAGCUGGAAAGGUGGCCAGGGCUGGAAUCCUAAAAGCACCACACAGAGUUAUUCAUUAUUUCAGACUAAGUUUGAAGGAAUACUUUUUCUUACCUUUUGGGUUUCAAAAGAAAUUCUGGAAAGGUUUGUAAUAAGUGGUUGAAGAAGAUUUGAUCGUAUUCACUUAUCCCAAGUCAGGGAAGGACAAUCAGUAAGAUUGAUUCUGAAUUGUGUAAAGGAGGUUAGGGCUUUGAUCUUCAUUUACUUUGGGAGUAGUGCUCUAUAGAUCCAAUGUGUAAAAUUAUUUGUGGGAAUGGAGAUUUGUCUGUGUUCCAUGCAGAGAAAGAGUCCACUUAUGACCUAUGUCAGGAGAGGUGAUCAGUUAUGGCACUAGAACGAUGAUAGUAUACCCUGAGUCAGAAUUUCAAACUGGUCUUUAUCUGUGGUGAAGAGAUAGAAGAAGAGAAAGAGUGAUGAGAAUAAAGAGAAUAAAUAGCACCAAGAGAUAAAGGACUAUAUUUGAGGAUAUGUGGAGGAGAGGACACUGCCAGGUAGAAUUCCCAUGGAUCUUGUCCAGGAAGUAGAAUCUGAAAACUCCAGAAUUCAAAAAGUGACAUUAUGGUGGUUUGGAGAAUGGAUGUUUGCUCUGUGGAAGAAGCACUGAUCUUGGGAAUGAACUGGCUGAUUGAGAUUGUCUGCUUGAUUCAGACCAAGGGAGAUCCCAAGUGGACCCAAUCUCUGCCCAUCUGGGAUCGCUCACCCUGGAUAGAGACUGAUGUAGGAUAUGAUACAUUAAUCAAAAAGGAAUGACCACGACUCAUGAUCUCACAUCUUCCCAAUCAUCAUUUCUCCAAGUCUCUCUUCAGUUCCAAGACCAAGUUGUAGGUGGAUCAUGGUUUGAGCACAUCUGUGACUGGCUGUCCAUGAGAGAAUGGACAACUUCUUGAUACUGCACUAUGAAGACAUGAAAAGUUGAGCAUCCAUCUUACUAUCAUUUACACAGUUAAGAACUCGAUCGUAGUAAUUAAAAAGGUUACUAAAAACUGUGAUUUUUGUCUUAAUUUUUUCAUAAUUAUCUUUUAUUAAUUAAAACAACUUUUAAAUGUGAAUAUAUUUGAUCAUAUUCAUCUUCUCCCAGAGGCUUUCCAGAUGAUCUAUGCCUCCUUAUCCUCCCAACUUUAAAGUUUUUCUACAACAAAUCUAGUUCAGCAAGAAGCCUCCCAAAUCAAGAAAAUAUAAAACCAUGCAAUAUGAAGUAAUGUACUGAACACUUGUUUGUAAAUGUGUCAUAAGUUAGAAUCAUGUGAGAGGAGGCAACUACAGUUAUGAAAAUAUCUCCAUAAGAUCCAUCGGUGGGCAAUCUUAUAAGGCAUUUCUGUACUCAUUGAUUGAAGGGGAUGUACCUAACCCCUCGUGAGAGCUGCCAUCCUUGAGUUCUUUAAGAAAACAGGCUGAGCAUACUAUGGUAAAGGAGACAUCAAGCAGCAUGCCUCUAUUGCCUCAGCAUCAUUUCCAGACUCCAGGUUCCUGUACUUUUUUACCUCUUGCCCUGGUAUCCUGCAAUGAUGUAUAAUAACAACAUGUAAGUGCAAGUGAAAUGAUGUGAAAAAAACUAUCACAUAGAAAUUAGACCAGUCAAACCAACAAAACUAAGAGAAUUUGAUUGAAAACACUAGGAUCAGAGAUCCACUCAUUCACUCACUUGGGGAUCUCAUGAAAAAACUAUACUGGACAGAAUUUUAUAGACAGAGCAUAUGUGGGUCAGUGGCACCCAAGAUCUGUCCAUGCUGCUUCACUCUCUGAGAAUUUAUAUCACUUGGUGCUGUCAAUUUUCUCUUGCUUUAGCAGUCUAUCAGCCUCUUCUUCUGCAGGGUUUCCUGAUCUCUGGAAGGAAGGAUUUGAUAGAGAUAUCCAUUUAUGGUGUCUCAUUCUCUACAAUGUAUUGCUGUAGGUUUCGGUAUUUGUCCCUGUUUGCUACAAGAGGAAGUUUCUCUGAUGAUGCCUAAGCAAGGCACUAUUCAAUGUGUAUAGCAGAAUAUCAUGAGGAGACAUUUUUCUAAUAUUUUUUCUUUUUUUCUUUUUAAUAAAAUUAUUUUGUUUUAUCAUAGGGCCCUGGCCUAUCUAGUCCAAGGUCCUUGGUCACCCAUGUAGUUUAUCAUACAGGCUCCAUGUCACAGAAUGAGACUUAAGUCAAAUCAGUUAUUGGUUGAAUAUUCCCAUAAGCUUUGAGCUACCACUGACCUAACUUAUCUCACAAGUAGUACACCACUAUCGAUAGGACUUUUGUCCAGCUUGGUGUUUAUAUUUCUCUUGUGAGCAUGGAAAGUGCCCUUCUGUACUAAAGACACUAGGAUGUAAUGGUGAAUGGUCUCUGUAGGGACCAGGUUCACAUACAUUAAUUUGUAUAGGCGUUGUCUUUAGCAAUUGGGGACUUGCUGCCAGUUUGUUGAGAGCAACUUCUAAUCUUAUUAACAGUCUGGGUUUUUUGAUGGGGAUUCUCACGGGGUCCAUUUAGACAACAUCUCAAUUAGAUGUAACCCAAUCCUAGUACUGGAAUUUUUCUUUCAUUCAUUUUCUUUAUUUGGAACAAGAGAUGGGCAAUAUGUGGUGAUUUCACUUUGAACACUUUCAUAUGUGCAUAGAUUUUAGGAAGUUUCCACUGUAUUAGGUUUCAACUCUACCUCUCUAAUGCCUAUUAAUUUUAUGUUUCUCUCCCUGUACUCCCUUUCAAAAACCCCUCUUCCUUCCCCUUUCCAAUUGACUCCUCCAUCCUAGCUCUUGAACUUCCCUUCAUAAUUUGUUCUGUACAUUUAAUGUUUUGAUUAUUAUGUGCUCAGGGGACUUUUUUCCUUGUCCAAUCUAUUUGGUCUUCUGUAUGUUUCAUGAAUGUUGAUAGGCAUCUCUUUCUUCAGGUUAGUAUUUUUUCUAUGAUUUUGUUGAAAAUAUUUGCUCUUCCUUUGUCCUGGGCUUCCUUUUCUUCUUCUAUUCCUAUUAUUCAUAGAUCUGGCCAUAUUAUGUGCCAUGAGUUUAAU
rnacentral:sRNA from 1 species